rnacentral:rRNA from 1 species
UACGUAGAGAGCAAGCGUUGUCCGGAAUCAUUGGGCGUAAAGGGUACGCAGGCGGUCUAUUAAGUCAGAGGUGAAAUCCAACAGCUCAACUGUUGAACUGCCUUUGAUACUGGUAGACUUGAGGAUAAGAGAAGAAAACGGAAUUCCUAGUGUAGCGGUGAAAUGCGUAGAUAUUAGGAAGAAUACCGAUGGCGAAAGCAGUUUUCUAACUUAUUCCUGACGCUCAGGUACGAAAGCUAGGGUAGCAAACGGG